UACGAAGGGGGCUAGCGUUGCUCGGAAUCACUGGGCGUAAAGCGCACGUAGGCGGGCUCUUAAGUCGGUGGUGAAAUCCUGGAGCUCAACUCCAGAACUGCCUCCGAUACUGAGAGUCUUCGAGUCCGGGAGAGGUGAGUGGAACUGCGAGUGUAGAGGUGAAAUUCGUAGAUAUUCGCAAGAACACCAGUGGCGAAGGCGGCUCACUGGCCCGGUAC
rnacentral:rRNA from 1 species